rnacentral:rRNA from 1 species
UACGUAGGGUGCGAGCGUUAAUCGGAAUUACUGGGCGUAAAGUGUGCGCAGGCGGCCGAGCAAGUCGAGUGUGAAAGCCCCGAGCUUAACUUGGGAACUGCGCUCGAAACUACUUGGCUAGAGUGUGGCAGAGGGAGGUGGAAUUCCACGUGUAGCGGUGAAAUGCGUAGAGAUGUGGAGGAACACCGAUGGCGAAGGCAGCCUCCUGGGCCAACACUGACGCUCAUGCACGAAAGCGUGGGGAGCAAAC